GGCGUAGGCGACCCAAAAAGUUGGAUGUUAAAGUUCUCUGCCCAACGGAGAAAAUGCGUCCAAAACUAUUGGGAUUGAGCAUAAGAGGAGAAAGUGGAAUUCCUGGUGUAGCGGUGGAAUGCGUGGAUAUCAGGAGGAACACUCGUGGCGAAGGCGGCUUUCUAUCUUAUUGCUGACGCUGAGGCCCGAAAGCUAGGGGAGCAAACAGGAUUAGAUACCCUGGUAGUCCUAGCCGUAAACGAUGACCAUUAGGUGUUUCGGAUUUAUCUGAAGUGCCGGAGCUAACGCGCUAAAUGGUCCACCUGGGGACUACGGCCGCAAGGCUAAA
rnacentral:rRNA from 1 species